rnacentral:lncRNA from 1 species
CUGUUUGUAAGCUUUCCCUGUGAUUUUUUUUUUUUUUAAUUAAAGUAUUUUUUAAAUUAGGUGAGUUGGUGCUUUGGAAAUUGAUAAUGAUGGAAACUGAAAUGAUCUGCUCCAGACUUUCAGGGACACUGAGUGCUGUGAGGAGCGUGCAGAGAGCUGUGCAGAGGAAGCCAUUUCUGCUGGGGCUGGGCCGGUGCGUGGUUCUCAGGAAACCCCAGGAGGUGACACAGGACCUGUAGUGAGGCCCCAUCUGCUGGUGCCUCCUUCUCCAGCCGCUGCCUGAGGCCGUGCAUCAGGUGAUGCUGCUUCUUAUGGUACCUCUGAGCUGCCUGCUGCCCUCUUGUGCCAUGAUCUGCUCUCUACACUGGUGCAUUUUCGAGCCAUUCACAGAGGCAGUGAUAAACCUGGAGUUGCUUCUCGGUUUGAUGAAAUGCUGGAUUUGGGGUGCCGACCUCAAACACUU